rnacentral:lncRNA from 10 species
CAAUGACACCAUGAAUGCACAGUUGAAAAGAAUUUUGAGUAUACUGGCUUGCAUCUGAUCCUCCCCUUGUGGCCAGAGCAUUGUAGUAUCAAGACAAUUAGUCCCUAAUGAAACAACAAGAAAUCUCAAGAUAGGCAGAAGCCAACCAAGCCAUCUGCUAUGGAAGCUGAAGAAGGCUGGAUAAUCCCUUCCUUUUGGCAACAUGUUUACUGAGCUCAACAGCCAUGUGCCUUCCCUCUCUCCCACCACUAACGACUUUGAAUCUUGAAUAAAUGAAGCAAAAGCGCAAUGACAUUUAGAGAUUUUUGAUAGCAGAAUCGACAGAGUGGAGUGUCUAAUAACACAGUACCAAGUGUGCCAGUGAAAUGGAAUCCAGCAGGACAGUGGCAGCAGUCCAGACAUAGUGGCUACAGUGGACAAGGCCGUGAGCGUCCUGUCAGAUAGCAGCAGUGCUCUGAGGUGGAUAAUUAUGGAAGUUCUGUGGCUCUCUUGAUUUUUAUUUAAUUCUUACUGAGCUUGAUUUUCAGCAACCUUUUCCAUGUUUGGAGCAAUUGAGUUCUCUGCCAAUAAAUUUCAUUUCUGUUUAAAUUAAUGAGUUAUAAUCAUAUUCAAGUAAGAAUUGUGACCUAUUCAGAAUUAUAUGAGAUAAAUCAGUACUGGGGCAAGAGGAGAACAUGGAAAUCCAGCAGCCCUUGCUAUGUAUUUUUCCAGCAAUUAAUAAAUGUCACCUGAAAUAAAGUUUUCAUUAAAGGUCAGUCUUAUGGAAUCAAUGUCAACCAGUUCUACACAGCACAUAUGUCUCAAGGGCAUGGAAAACAUUGGAAAGUGUGAAAGCAAUGGAUAGCUGAAGGGAAGAAAAUGACAAUCUAAGGGCCAUCAUUUCUCAACUGAAGUGAUCUGAAGCCUUGCAAUAGUAUUGCUUUAGAGGAUUUCUGCUUUAGAAUAUCUCUUUACUGAGGCAAAUUAAUGCAAUUUCUCGUACUUGAUGUGCAACUUAAUCUGACAAAUGGGCUUCCUAUAUAUCAA